GGCUGGAUAGCUCAAUAGGUAGAGCACGAGACUCUCAAACCCCAAGGGUUGUGGGUUCGAGACCCGCGUUUGGGCG